CUCUAAGGAGACUGCCGGUGACAAACCGGAGGAAGUGGGACGACGUCAAGUCAUCAUGGCCCUUACGGCCUGGGCUACACACGUGCUACAAUGGUCGGUACAAAGGGUUGCCAAGCCGCGAGGUGGAGCUAAUCCCAUAAACCGAUCGUAGUCCGGAUCGCAGUCUGCAACUCGACUGCGUGAAGUCGGAAUCGCUAGUAAUCGUGAAUCAGAAUGUCACGGUGAAUACGUUCCCGGGCCUU
rnacentral:rRNA from 1 species